GUGGGUGUAGCUCAGUUGGUUAGAGCGGCUGGUUGUGGCCCAGCAGGUCGCGGGUUCAAGUCUCGUCACUCACCCCA
rnacentral:tRNA from 1 species